rnacentral:rRNA from 1 species
GCUACGGGAGGCAGCAGUAGGGAAUUUUCGGCAAUGGGGGGAACCCUGACCGAGCAACGCCGCGUGAACGAAGAAGUUAUUCGUAAUGUAAAGUUCUUUUAACAGGGAAGAAAGAGAAAUUUGAAGGUACCUGAAGAAUAAGCUCCGGCUAACUACGUGCAAGCGGCCGCGGUAAUACGUAGGGAGCGAGCGUUAUCCGGAAUGAUUGGGCGGAAAGGGUGCGUAGAUGGCAUAGUAAGGAUUUGGUAAAAAGGCUGGGCUCAACCCAGGAGGGCAAAAGAUACUGCAAAGCUAGAGUAUGACAGAGGCAAGUGGAACUACAUGUGUAGCGGUAAAAUGCGUAGAUAUAUGUAAGAACACCAGUGGCGAAGGCGGCUUGCUGGGUCGAUACUGACAUUGAGGCACGAAAGCGUGGGGAGCGAACAGGAUUAGAUACCCUAGUAGUC